GACGAACGCUGGCGGCGUGCUUAACACAUGCAAGUCGAGCGGUAAGGCUCCUUCGGGAGUACACGAGCGGCGAACGGGUGAGUAGCACGUGAGUAACCUGCCCUUCUCAUCGGAAUAAGCGUUGGAAACGACGUCUAAUGCCGAAUAUGACUUCGGAAGGCAUCUUCUGAAGUGGAAAGCUCCGGCGGAGAAGGAUGGACUCGCGGCCUAUCAGCUAGUUGGUGAGGUAACGGCUCACCAAGGCGACGACGGGUAGCCGGCCUGAGAGGGUGACCGGCCACACUGGGACUGAGACACGGCCCAGACUCCUACGGGAGGCAGCAGUGGGGAAUAUUGGACAAUGGGCGCAAGCCUGAUCCAGCAACGCCGCGUGAGGGAUGACGGCCUUCGGGUUGUAAACCUCUUUCAGCAGGGACGAAGCGAAAGUGACGGUACCUGCAGAAGAAGGACCGGCCAACUACGUGCCAGCCGCCGCCGUAAUAC
rnacentral:rRNA from 1 species